AGCGCCCCCGCCGCGACCGCCGCGAGCUGCUGGCGCCGCGCCGGAGGGAGGGCGGCAGGGUGCGACCGCCGGUGGGCGGAGGCCCGGGCGGCCUAGAGGUGGCUUCUCGGGGCCCGCGGAGGACCGGGGACCGGGAAGGUGAACUGAGGCGGUCGCCCGCUCGAGGCUGCACCUGCCCCGAUCGCCCCUAAACGGUCCGGCCUAGUGGGCUUGGGUAAGUGGGCCGGGCGGCGGCUCCGACUGCAGGGAACGAGCGUGCGAGAGCGAGCGGGUGUAGCGGCAACGCUGAAAGCCGUAUUUCCAAAAUGAAAACCCGUGAUUUUGAAAUGAUUUCCGGAGGAGGCGGCGGGGGGGGUUUGGGGGGGGGGGGGGGGGGCGGAGAUGGCGGGAUAUGGAGGCAGUUAAAUAUCUGCCAGACCCGGACCUGUCGUUCAUUCCAGAAGGGUCUCUUGACACUCCGCAGGUUCAAGGCGCUGGAGGCAGACCCAGGGCCUUGCUCUUUAGGAAGCUUACCUUCUAGUGGAGUAGAGAGAUUUAAGCAGACAGACAAGGUCAAGACGGAUUGUGGCAAGGCUAUGCCAUGCAGGAAAUACAGAAGAAUGAUGCGAGGGUUGAGUGGGCCAGACCCCCUUUUUCGGGAUAGGAUGGCUAGAGAACCUCUGGAGGGAAGUGAUAGUCGAGCUGCUUCCUGAGACAAAGGCGUGAAAUGACAGCUUAGACACAGUGUUACAGCCGGGGACUGUAGGUUCCAGAACUGCUGCGUAAGGCCGCGGAUUAUGUUAAAAACCUGUCUCCAAAGCCUGCUUCUUUUUUUUUUUUUUUUUUUAAUUUUCCUUUUAAUGUUUGUUUUUUGAGAAAGAGAGAGAGAGAGAGAGACAGCGCGAGCGGGGGAAGGGCAUAGAGAGAGAGGGAGACCCAGAAUCCCAAGCAGGCUCCAGGCUCUGAGCUGCCAGCACAGAGCCCGACGAUGGGCUCGAACUCACAAACCCUGGGAUCAUGAACUGAGCCAAAGUGGGACGCUUCACCGACGGAGCCACACAGGCGCCCCCUCUAAAGCCUUCUAAGGCCUGUCUCUGUCCUGUCCACUCCUUCAGUUUCGAAGGGCUUGCUCCCCCUUGGGAGUUGUUGGGGUCUGGGACUGUGGCUUCUUAGCGGAGGUUCAAGGCAGGAAUUAGGGAGCUUUGGUGUGUAGACAGACAUCAACAGAUGCUUGAAGGCAAACAGCCCCGAGAGACAAAUUCUUUAACCUUUUGCCGUUUCUUUUCCCACGUCACUUUUUCUGAAACCCAUGAGUAAGCGUUAAAACUAUGAUUUUUACCUGGGAGCUUAAUCCUCCCAAAAGAUGGAGCUCUGUUAUGAUCUGAAUAAGAGAAUUAAUGACCUAUUUUGCUAAAUCAGUUAAAGACAAAAUUAAAAGCUGACUUGCAAAGAGAGGACCUUUUCGGGUUAUAACGCAUUACCUGAAUAAUACCAAAAAACCCAAUAAUGUUUAUUCAGUAUUAGUUUAUAUAACUGCAUAAUUAAUGGAACGAUUGUUUGGAUAAUAAUAGUGGGGUUAGAAUCUCGAGCCCUUUUUGCUUACUCCUCGGCCAUUUGUUUUGGUUCAUACCAAACUAACAGAAGGAAAUAUUUUGUUGUGUCUUCUGGGAAAACUGGGAGCGAGCUCACACUUCUUGCUGCCUACUGUUUGCACAGCAUUGUGCUAGGCAUUUAAAUACAUUAUCCCUUUCAGGACUGGGACCAACCUUGAGAUACGGGGAUUAUUAUACCCAUUGUCGUAACGAAGACAUAGUCGCUGGAAGGGUCAGAAAUUAAACUCUAAUGAACUCUAAUUAACUCUAGCCCUAAUUCCCCUUUUGCACCAUGUGCUAUCCCCUAAUAUUUAAGAAGGAAAUAUAAGUGAAGUGUCCAGCCAAGCAGAUCUGUAUGUUGCUUUUAGAAUUUUGUUACAAAAAUAAGCUUCAAGGUCGAGUGAUACGAGGCAAUGUUGGAGCGAGCUUCUCUGCGUUUUUACUUCUCCCUCUAAAGGAUAUUUGCCAUCUAUUUGACACCAAAAAACAACUCUACUUGUUUUAGGAGUUCAGAAUGCCAUGUGUCUUUUGGUUGGUUGGUGGUUUUAUGUGAGAGGAAGAGAGCGCCAGCAGGGGAAGGGCAGAGGGAGAGGGGGAGAGAAUCCUUAAGCAGGCUCCAAGCUCAGUGUGGACUCCCGCACAGGCUCCAUCUCAAGACCUUGGGACCAUGACCUGGCGGAAAUGAGAAGAGUCAGGCGCUCAACCUGCUGAGCCACCCAGGCACCCCCACCCUGUGUCUUUUAAAUGCUCCCAAUAAUGUGAUAAAUGAUGACACUAACAUUAUGUCAUUGCAAGGGGCUCCUGCCCAACUGUGUCAGUCUGCAUUCUUUCACAAGCAGCCUUUCCUUGCACACAAAGUGAUUUCUUUCUGCCAAAAAUAUGUUCCCAGAUUUUUAUGGAAUAUUCUGACAUGUGAAUGCCCCCAGGUCUGUGUAGGCUGGCUGCUCUAGAGACAUUUAACGGAUGAAGGAAAAUCUUGCAAGUGUUUAUAUGGUUUUGAGGAAUGAGGUAGUAGGAUUUGUACAUUUUUGUUUCGUUCCUAUCAGAUCCUUCACGUUUUUCUUUGAUGAUGUCAAGAAAUAAAACUUUUCCUUUCUCAAGAGCAGUCGUUUUUUGUGGUUUUCACAAAAUUCAGUUGUGUUUUGCACACAUAGUACUACCUUUUGCUCUCUGCACAUUUCCGGAAAACAUCAUUAGUUCAGACAUUAAAAAUAGGAUGCAACUUUUCAGAGCCUACUGUUUUUAUUAAUGAGAUGUGUGUGUCUGUCUUUUUCAUUUUGGUUAACUCCUUAUAAACCUAUGGGAAUCUGGCAAAGCAAGUCUUUGACUAUGUAUAUUUAAGUUCUCGUUCUAAAAAUCCCUUCUUAUCUACAUUUACUGUUUUUCCUGCUGUCUUCUUUUUUUAUUUUAUUUAUGUGUUUAUUUCACUUUUUAUUUGGAAAUAAUUAUAGACGCGCAAAAGGGUACAAAAAUAAUGCAGCGAGGUUACCCUCCACCCAGGUUCACCCUCUGGCAGCAUCUCGCGUACCCAUAAUACAUUAUUAAAACUAGAAAAUUCACAUCUUGCUAUCUUCUUUAGGUUUUUAGUUUCUUUUUAAGUUUCAUUAUGUCGAAAAUUACCAUUUUGUAACGAUUCAUUUGUACUGUAUUUGAUUUGGCUCUUCUCCCUUUCCCAGAUUAACAAAUGACAGUCAGUAAGCUUGCCACAGUGCUCCUCUGGAAUUACAAGCUUACUACGACAAUUCUGUGUUUCAGCACGCUUAAAAGGAAGUCAUUUGUAACAUUUUUGGUUUUUUUCUGCUUAUACUGCUCCAUGUCAUUCUGCCCUAAUAAACCUGUAAAUUUAUACAACCUGUGUAUGUGGGUGUUUUAAUAUAUCCUUUGACCACUGGAAUGUUUUCAAGGAGGUUGCUAUUAAAGUAAAAAGAAAAAUAAUGCAAAGCUUUUUCAUCUGACUGAGGGGAAAACUUUCUAGUGCUUGCUUUCUUUCUUUCUUUCUUUCUUUCUUUCUUUCUUUCUUUCAAGAGGGAGAGAGAGCGUGUGCGUGCCAGCAGGGGAGGAGCAGAGACAUGGGGAGAGAAUCCCAAGCAGGCUCUGCACUGAUGACAUAGGACUUGAUCUCAGGAACCACGAGAUCAUGAUCUGAGCUGAAAUCAGGUGCCCCUGACUGGGGAAAAAAAAAGUUUCUAAACAUCUAACUAUCCAAGUGAGAAUACGAGGCAUGGUCUGUUGGUUCAGAAGCCAGAUCUCACUUAUGUCUCAUUCUGGCCCUAAGUUCUAGCCAGCUCACCCUUUACUCCACCAGAGAGUAAACAAAGGAAAGAAAAGAAGUGUAACUUACUUUCUUCAGUCUUAGUGUUGAGAAGAAGUUGAUGAGAAGAGAGAAUUUGGGAUUUGGGGUAGGUAUCAAUUAUGUAUUAAUGCCUCAUCACAAAUAAUCAAGUGAUAGCCCUUAUGCGUUAUAUAUUUAUUGUAAAUAAGUAGUCAAACGCUCUUCCUUCUAUGGGUUGUUUAGCAAAUGUAUUCGUCUACCGUGUACCAGUUGCCCAGUUAGGCACUGGUAACAGAGACACCACAGGAUCUAUUUUUUAAAGGAGUAUUAAGCUCUUACUAUGUGCCAGAUACUUCAUAGAUGCUAGGGAUCCAAAGGGAAGUAAAAAGAAAGCUGUGUUUUCUUCUCUCGUGAAACUUCCUGUCUGGUGAGGGAGACAAAUUAUCACACAAAAGUAACUUUAUAAUCCCAAUAGGUAUCACUAAGGGUAGAGAAGUGGUGCCUGAGAGCAUUGAAGCAGAAUUCUACCAAAUCUGGGGUGUCAGAAAUGGCUUCUAGCAAGAGAAUCUUUGAGCUAAGAUUUAAAACUGCCUCAUAGUGAACUUGGUGCAGAAGCACAGGAAGAGCAAGGAAAAACAGAGUCCCAGAGACUGAAAAGAAACGAGGGAGAUAAUGUGAGAGGGAUCUAGAGAAUUAAGCUAAGACCCACCAUGCAGGGUCUUACAGGUUUGGUAAGGAUUCUUAUCUUUGCUUCUGAAGUGAUACAAACCAAUUUAAGAGUUUUUAGUAGGAGUGGCAUCAGAUUGGUGUUUCCAAAAGCUCACUCUGGCUUCAAUGUGAAGAAUUCACUCUUUAAGUAUGUCCUGAGUACCCACUAUAAGCCAGGUUAUAGUCUGCACACUGAGCAUGCAGCAGUGAACAAAACAAAGAUUUCCUAACUUUAAGGAUCAUAUUAUAGACAAUACACAGUAGUAUGUAAGAUAGUGGUAUCUAAGAAGCUCUAUAAAGAAAUUUGGAAUCCAGGUGAGAAUAAAAAGGUAGGGUGGUGGUGCUAUUUUAUUAGCUUGAACCAUAUGAAGUUUCUGAUCUUUUUUACAUUGUUUUCAACUCAGAACAAUAUUGGGUUCGUGUGGGUUAAACAUGGUUGGAUGACAUUGAAUUGUUCAACCUAAUACUUGGAAGAGUCAGAGAAGACCUCUAAUGAGGUGAUCCAAAGAAAGAGGCAAGCCAUUCACAUACCAAGGAGAAGAGCAUCCCAAGCAAAGGGACAGCAAGUGCAAAGACCCUAAAGCAAGAAUGUGCCUGCCGUGUUUGAGUAAGCAACAAGGAGACCAUUGUGGCUGAAGGGUAAUGGUCAACGGGGAAGAAUGGUAAUAGGGACCAGAUCAUAGAAUCUCGAAGACCAUGAUCAAAUUUUGCUGCGGGAAAUGGAUAACGUGUUGGCUCUCUGUAUUAUUCUGGAAUUUCGGAUGGCUUCUCCAGUUUGCUGCUUCCCUGGACACCAAACAUAACAUUCCCUGUUCUAGGACCUGCUUCAAGUUGGUCAUAAGACUGGCAGAAAGUCAAACCAAACUAAAUGAAUAGUUGUUGAAGUUAAUCUCACGUCCUGGAGCUGUGUGUGCUAUGGAAUAGCCUGCUGUUGUUACCAGGCAUAACACUGAUCAGAAUCACUGCUCUGUGGUCUUGUUCAUCAGAAUUUCAUGUUUGGAAAUUAGAUUUGGGUCUGGUUACUGUAAAAAUAGAUAUUAUGAUAAUGGAAUAUAGCCGUUAAAAUUUCUAUUGCAGGAGAAAUUAGCCAUGUAUUUAAAUGUAGGAGUAUGUUACUAAACAAUAUGUUCAAGAUGAUUCCAGUAUUGUUUAAUGUUAUACAGACAUAGACAAAUACUGGAAAAAGGCACUCACAGUUCACCUUAAGGAAUGGAGGUACCAGUGAUUUCAUUUGACUUGUUUACUGUUCAGAAUCUUCCUAGAUGAAAUGUACUACAUCUAUACUCAGAUAAUUUUUAAAGGAAUCUAUUUUUCAUACCAAUACCCCAGAGUCAAAAUACGCAAAAGAUACCACUAAAGAGUGGUAAAUUAGGUCUACCUAAAAAGGUCUUAUUACGAUUCUCGCCACUCAAAAACCAUUGUAGAUUUUGCUCUUGUCUUGCAUGCAUUGUUUUUUUUCUUUCACUCUAAAAAAUCACGUACUAGAUGCUAGGAGUAAAUGAACAAUACAGGUGUGGCUUCUGCCCUCUCAGAGCUAACUAGUUGUCUGGGGAAGAUAGAACAAGCCGACGAACAAUCUAGCGUGUCACAGUCAAAAACACAGUUUCAUGCCUACUCCAUUAAAACACCUAACCCUCCUUUUUACGCGUCAAAUUCCGGCUUUGGCAUGUCAGCUCACAAACACAUUGAACUCGCACGCUGGCACUCACUGUCGGCCAUUGCUUCGGUUUGAGCCACGUCCCCAUUGUCCACAAACUCGUGUUCAAUUACUAGAGUACUAGUCAGUUAUUUGGGUAUUAAUUUGCUCUUAUUUUAGAAAAAUGUAAUUGCAAAUACUAGUCAUAGGACAUGUAGGUCUUAUAAAUGUAAGUUGAAUGAUAUAAGGACGGAAAUCAUCGUGUGCCCGGAACUUAAUCUAGCCUCAGUCAGAUACUCAGACAUUCAUGAAAUGAAGUCCAGUAAACUGAGUGAAACUAAAGAAGAAACUCAGAGAACAAGUAUAAGGUCCCGGAAAUAAUCAUUGUUAAAUUUUGUGGCUAAAGUUUUGGUAUGUUCAGAGAUUUUGAUCUUAAUUUUUUGGUUCUGUUAAGAAAGGAUUCCCCCUAAAACAAUAAGCUUACUGUUUGAUUUUUAAAGUUUUUUAAUGUUUAUUUAUCAUUGAGAGAGAGAGAGAGAGAGAGAGAGCACGAGUGGGGGAGAGGCAGAGAGAGAGGGAAACACUAAAUUUGAAGCAGGUUCCAGGCUCUGAGCUGUCAGAACAGAGCCCAACGUGGGGUUUAAAUUCACGAACCAUGAGAUCAUGACCUGAGCCAAAGUGGGAAGCUUAACCGACUGAGCCACCCAGGCAUCCCUGAUUUUUAGAUCCGUGGUCAGUUAGGCUUUAUGUUUGAAAGUUGGAAAUGACCUGUGGUGGCUCACCAUUGCCUACAGAAUAUAUUUUAAGUCAUUUAUCACAUGAGUGAUGUUAAAAUCCACAAGUCCAUAAUGACACUGAGAAAAGAAAAUAUACAUAUAAGUCACCUAGAAGUUGCAAUAGUAAGUUGCUACGUUAUAUGGUAACGACGAUCGGUAAAUAAAGGAAAAGAAUCAAGCAUUCUGCUUCUCUUAUACAAAUUGCAUUUUAGGGGAACCAGAGUUGUAAAGGGCAAGCCCUUUCGUAUACAGUAUUUCCAACUGAUAAAGGUAAGUGAAAUGACAAAAGACCAUUUUUCAAUCUCCUAAUAAAAUAAUAGACAACACCUGAACCCACUGAUCAAUUUUAACAUCACUCAGAGUCGAAUGACCAUACAUCAUAUGCUUCCUGAUGUGCUGCGAUCAAAAUAUGCUGAAUCACCUAUGCAGUAUUUUUGCCACUCCCCAAAUAUUUUGAGUUUAAAUCCAAUAAAGCCUCUAAGUGUAACAGCUUAUGAGGAGAAGGGAGAAUGAACAAUAUAGGAAAGUGUAAAACAACACCAGAGAAGAUGCGAUCAACUAAACCCAGACUGUGGAAAGUUCUACAGCACAAAUGACAGGAUUUCUUCAACAAAUAAGUUAUCUUAAUAAAUUAAAGAGAUUUAAGGCGUGCCUGGUGGCUCAGUCAGUUGAGCAUCCGACUCCUGAUUUCAGCUCAGGUCAUGAUCUUACGGUUCGUGAGUUCAAGCCCUGCUUGGGGCUCUGUGCUGACGGCGUGGAGCCUGCUUGGAAUUCUCUCUCCUUCUCUCUGUCCCCCCCCCCCCACUCAUGCUCUCUCUCGCCCUCUCUCUCAGAAAUAAAUAACUUUUAAAAAAGAGAUUUAAGACACCUAAUAACUAAGUACAGCAUGUGGAUCCUGAUUUGACAAACCAGUUAUAAACAGACAUUUUUGAAACAGUUGGGAAACUUGACUAGAGGCUGGAUAUUAGGUGGUAGUAUAUAAUUUUGUCUUUGUCAUAAUGAUGCUUUCGAAAGCAGUCUGCUAGAGUCGUAUACUGAAUAAGGAUGAAAUUUCAAUGAUCUCCAGGAUUUCCUUCAAAAUACUCCAGGGGGAAGGGGAGAAGUGGCAGAAGAAAUGAAAACAAGAUUAGGUGAGGAUUGUUAAGUGUUAAAGCAGAGUGAUGGGUCCGUGAGGUGAGAACUGGGGUUUAAUACCGCAUCCUCUAUUUUGUGUGUAUGUUUUAAAUUCUCCGUAACUCGAAGUUAGAUUUAAAUCGGUCAAUACAUACAUACUUAACACACAAAUGUACAUAAAGGCUUUAGAGCAUUUUGUUUCUACACCCAACUUAUUCCCUGGGGAAGUGACUGAGUGAAUGAAUACAAAGAACUGUAAUAUUAGGAUCCCUGAGCCAGUUGGUGUGGGUGCACCAUCUAAAUGUGUAAUCCCGAGGAAAGGGGCAUCUCCUUUUCUUUCUUGUGGAACCACCGAGGGGAAGUGUCCCAGUGAUGGCCACAAUGAGGACAGGAAGCACAACCCAAGUCCCUUUCUUCCGAUGGCUUUUGUGUCCGUAGGCGAUCAACGUAGUGGCGGGUAAAGUCCCUGGUGACACUGGAGCUUGGGUCUGAGUGAGGGUGUAAUUAUUUCCGACCGGUGCUUCAUUCGGUAUAAGGACACUGCUCUCAAAAACUGUGCACAACUGCAGAGGUUGACAAGGGCAUUGCUUUCCAAGGUAAUAGCCUUGGAACGCUCUGGAGUCAGCGAUGACACUGGGCUCCCAGCUACUACAGCGGUUAGGGUAACCCCUUCCAGAGCAAUCAGCCAUGAUUGUGACUGCUGUCAUUCCUCGACGGACAGGGGAAAAGGCGAUGCGUGGGACAAGAAGACAAGAGUUCUUGGAGCGCCUGGGUAGCUCAGUCGGUCGAGUGACCGACUUCAGCUCAGGUCAUGAUCUCGCGGUUCGUGGGUUUGAGCCCCACAUUGGGUUCUAUGCUGACAGCUCCGAGCCUGGAGCCUGCCUCAGAUUCUGGGUCUCCCUCUCUCUCCGCCCCGCCCCCCUCAUGCUCUGUCUCUCUCUGUCUCAGAAAUAAA